rnacentral:rRNA from 1 species
GACGAACGCUGGCGGCGUGCUUAACACAUGCAAGUCGAACGGAAAGGCCCUGCUUUUGUGGGGUGCUCGAGUGGCGAACGGGUGAGUAACACGUGAGUAACCUGCCCUUGACUUUGGGAUAACUUAAGGAAACUGGGGCUAAUACCGUAUAGGAGCUCCUGCUGCAUGGAGGGGGUUGGAAAGUUUCGGCGGUUGGGGAUGGACUGGCGGCUUAUCAGCUUGCUGGUGGGGUAGUGGCUUACCAAGGCUUUGACGGGUAGCCGGCCUGAGAGGGUGACCGGCCACAAUGGGACUGAGAUACGGCCCAGACUCCUACGGGAGGCAGCAGUGGGGAAUAUUGCACAAUGGGCGGAAGCCGGAUGCAGCAGCGCCGCGUGCGGGAUGACGGCCUUCGGGUUGUAAACCGCUUUCGCCUGAGACGAAGCGUGAGUGACGGUAAUGGGUAAAGAAGCACCGGCUAACUACGUG